UGAAAGGAAGGACGUCCUUAAUGAGCUAGAUGACCGUGAGCUGGUGAAGAGGUAUUGGCAGGAUCCUGCUGGUAUCAUUUUCGUGACAAAUUUGGUGCGGGAAAGGCUGAAGAGACCAACUGCAAGGAACAAGGCCUCUCUCCCCGAGAUGCAAGUUAUCUUCACUGCGGUACCUCGCUAUAGGAAAGAUGCAGCAGUGCAGCACUGAUGACUUGGGGCCCUCACAACAGACCAUCAGCAGGAUCAUCAGUGAUACAGUGAUACAAUGCCAUCCAACUGGAUGAGUUUCUGCAGAUUGCUGGCUUCCCUGAAGUGAUCGGUGGCAUUGAUGGAACGCACGUAAUGAUUGUGGCUCCUAGAGAGUAUAAGGUAGAGUUUGUCAACAGGAAGAGAUACUACAGCAUCAACGUGUAGUUUGUUUGAUGCUUGAUACCACAUUAUUGAUGUGGUUGCAAAGUGGCCGGGAUCGGUUCACGAUGCAAGAAUACUUGUUCAAAGUGGACUCUGCACGAUAUUUGACAACGGCAUCGUCCCAGCUGGGUGUCACUUACAGGAGAUAGUGACUAUCCCAGCAAGAAGUGGCUACUGACUCCAUACCUCAGACCACAGCCUGGAGCACAGUCUUCUUAUAACAGGGCCCACAAGAAAACCCGCAGCAUUGUUGAGAGGCAUCGGGCAGCUGAAGCGACGUUUUCACAUGCUACACAGUGAGACCCGAGUUGGUCCUCCAUCCAAGGUCUGCAAAAUUGUAGAGGUUUGUGCACUGCUGCACAACAUCUGCAAAGCAAGAAACAUCAUUCUUCCUGAGGAAGAAGAACAUCUUGCUGCAGCCGAGGAUGGAGGCAACGAGGAGCGACUCCUAGCACAGAAAGUUCAAAGUCGCCAUGAAGUAAUCCUUUAAAGGGAUGAAUUUGUUGUGCUUCACUUCAACAUUGAUGAGUGAUGAGACACCAGUGUCAUGACUGCUGAGAUUGGUGUUAUUCUCAUGUGGAUGAUCUCAUCCACAAACACCAGUGAUGUACCAGGCAAGUCUGGCCCCUGUUGGUGCUGCAAGUGGUGUGGCAGGUGCCUCCUCCUCAACACCUACUGCCUCGGUCACCACUUCUCUCUGUUGGGUUGCCUCUGCCACUUCCCCAGCAUCAUCUGCUGCCUGCACACUACUGGCAUCAUUAGUUCUAACUUCAGAAACUAAGCUGAUAAUGUUUUUGGUUUUAUUGCUAAGGACAAAAGUAACAGAAACCAGUAAAUCUAGCUAAGGGUA
rnacentral:lncRNA from 1 species